CGGAAUGAGUAGCGCGAAUGCAGUGAGAAUCUGCAUGGCCGAAAGCCUCAGGUUUCUGGAGGAAGGUUCGUCCGCUCCAGGUUAGUCGGGAGCUAAGGUGAGGCCUAACGGCGUAGCCGAUGCACAGACGGUAGAGAUUCCGUCACCACCAAAAGAGUUAAACACAGGGACACAUUUGAAGUCUCGGAGCCGGGUGUUGGUUCCGGUAGCGAUCGAGGGAAGUUAGUACCGAAGUCCGGGAUGGAAGAUGGCGAGAAAAGCUGUGUGUAUUUCUGCGGUGCCCGUACCGCAAACCGACACAGGUAGGUAGGAAGAAGAUUCUAAGGCCAACGGGAGAAGGGUUGUUAAGGAACUCGGCAAAUUGACCCCGUAACUUCGGGAGAAGGGGUGCUCCAGAGAUGGAGCCGCAGAGAAUCGGCCCAAGCAACUGUUUACCAAAAACACAGGUUUGUGCUAAAUCGAAAGAUGACGUAUACGAGCUGACGCCUGCCCGGUGCUGGAAGGUUAAGAGGAGAUGUGCAAGCAUUGAAUCGAAGCCCCAGUGAACGGCGGCCGUAACUAUAACGGUCCUAAGGUAGCGAAAUUCCUUGUCAGGUAAGUUCUGACCCGCAUGAAAGGCGUAAUGAUUUGGGCACUGUCUCAACAGCCCGCCCGGCGAAAUUGUAGUACCGGUGAAGAUGCCGGUUACCCGCGACAAGACGGAAAGACCCCAUGGAGCUUUACUGUAGCCUAAUAUUGGGUUUCGAUGUUGCAUGCACAGGAUAGAUGGGACACAGGGAAACAAGUGCUUUGGCAUUUGUGGAGUGGCCGUUGGGAUACCAUCCUUGCGAUAUUGGAAUUCUAACCUGCGCCUUUGAAUCAAGGCGGGGGACAUUGUUAGGUGGGCAGUUUGACUGGGGCGGUCGCCUCCUAAAGAGUAACGGAGGCGUUCAAAGGUUCGCUCAGCUUGAACGGAAAUCAAGCAAAAGAGUGCAAACGCAGAAGCGAGCCUAACUGCGAGACUGACGGGUCGAGCAGUAACGAAAGUUGGAGUUAGUGAUCCGGUGGUAUGUGAGUGGAAAUGCCAUCGCUCAACGGAUAAAAGUUACCCUGGGGAUAACAGGCUGAUCUCCCCCAAGAGUCCACAUCGACGGGGAGGUU
rnacentral:rRNA from 1 species